GGAGUAUGGACCGUGUCUCAGUUCCAUUGUGACCGUUCAUCCUCUCAGACCGGCUACCGAUCGUCGCCUUGGUAGGCUCUUACCCCACCAACUACCUAAUCAGACGCAUCCCCAUCCCUUAGCGGUGAACCUUUGCUUUCCAUCAGAUGCCAUCCAGAAAGAACAUAGAGUAUUAAUCCGACUUUCGCCGGGCUAUCCUCUACUAAGGGGAAGGUUGGAUACGCGUUACUCACCCGUGCGCCGGUCGCCAUCAACAAAAGCAAGCUUUCGUCAUGAUGCCCCUCGACUUGCAUGUGUUAAGCCUGUAGCUAGCGUUCAUC
rnacentral:rRNA from 1 species